CACAUACCAUUGUCACUACCACUACUGCCAAUAUCACCGUGGUCACUUUCGAUCACCACCACCAACACAAUCUAAUAGCGCUACCAUCUCCCUCACGAUGCUUCAAGGCAGAGACGGUGGGAGACUCUUAAGGUUGGGAUUCAACCUUAUUUUAAUAGAGCUACCAUCACCAACACAGUCCUACUGUCAGCAACAUGGACACAUACACAGCCCCAACAACCUACCAUUACAGACCACCCAAACACCACCAAAAAAAUCAAAUCCAAAUUUAUUAAUCACCGCCACGACCACCAACAAUAUCGCACCACGACAACCACCAACAUUACACCAACUCUGCCUCCUCCCUUUCCUCUUCGACCAAUACCUGUUUCUCGAACCAUAGCCCAAAACUAGAACAAAGCCAAUAUCACCACCAACUCAACAUCACAACCACCAACUGCAAACACUGUCAACAAAAUCACUACACAGCCUAAUAAAAAAUUAGAUUGCAUCAACUGUAGUGGCAACAGCAUCAUUGCGUAUAUCCAAAAUGAGAUCCAAUCGACUAAAGCACAACGACAUCAUCUCUUCUUUCGGCACAGCGUCACGUGUGUAGCGACGUUACAGUACCGCAACGUGAUGUAUUUCGUUGAUGUCAUUUCUUCCGACGGUGUUUUUGGGGAUUGGGUAAAGGUCGCGCGACACACCUGAGGCAGAGGUCUUUGCAGUUGCGGUAUUCUUGGGCAAAGGCACCUGGGGGCAAAGGUCCUCACAGUCGACGCCACUCUCUUGCAAUGGCGUUGAUCCUCUUAUCGGCGCCGAUCCUAUUGUUGGCACCGAAGAGAGAAGAUAGAGAGUGAAUAUGAUGGGAUGUGAAUUAGUAAUAU
rnacentral:lncRNA from 1 species